rnacentral:rRNA from 1 species
GACGAACGCUGGCGGCGUGCUUAACACAUGCAAGUCGAACGGAAAGGCCUCUUUCGGGGGGUACUCGAGUGGCGAACGGGUGAGUAACACGUGAGUAACCUGCCCUUGACUUUGGGAUAACUUCAGGAAACUGGGGCUAAUACCGGAUAGGAGCUCCUGCCGCAUGGUGGGGGUUGGAAAGUUUCGGCGGUUGGGGAUGGACUCGCGGCUUAUCAGCUUGUUGGUGGGGUAGUGGCUUACCAAGGCCUUGACGGGUAGCCGGCCUGAGAGGGUGACCGGCCACAUUGGGACUGAGAUACGGCCCAGACUCCUACGGGAGGCAGCAGUGGGGAAUAUUGCACAAUGGGUGGAAGCCUGAUGCAGCAACGCCGUGUGCGGGAUGACGGCCUUCGGGUUGUAAACCGCUUUCGCUCAUGACGAAGCUUUGUGUGACGGUAGUGGGUAAAGAAGCACCGGCUAACUACGUG